CAGCAGUGCUGCAAGCAUCUCAGCCUCUAUCCACCGCCAAACAGGUCAUCUGGCACAGACUAUUAAAUGACUAGCACUUCCCGUUCUCAGGGUGAUGUAUCUGCUUCCUGAUGGUGUUGGCUCUGACUAUCUUCCUACUUCCACCCAGUGGCUCCAGCUGUGGCUGCCAAGAAAACCCCAGCUGAUGGAGGAUGAGAGGUGAAAUCAGGACACACAAAGACCUGUUACCAUCAUCUUUCACCUGGAUUCUCCUAAAGCAACAGCUGCUCAUCUCAUCACUCUGAGUUACUAAUCCUUCUUUCUGAGACAAAAGCCCAAAAGGCAAAUGGGAAAUGACUUGUCAGAUGACAUCACCAAUAAUUGAACAUAAAGCAGACUCAAAUUAGGACAAAAUCUUUUGUAUUUACUCAGUUUAUAUCAGUAAUAUGAUUAUCUCAAAGUUCUAACAAAGCAGUCUGCCACAAGGGGUAAC
rnacentral:lncRNA from 1 species